rnacentral:tRNA from 1 species
GGUCUGGUGGUGUAGUUGGUUAUCACGUCAGUCUAACAGGUCGAGGCUACCCUCGAACUCGUCACACUGAAGGUCUCCGGUUCAAGUCCGGGCUAGAUCA